UGGCAUAUGAUGAAAUC
rnacentral:sRNA from 1 species